CCUACGGGUGGCUGCAGUGAGGAAUAUUGGUCAAUGGGCGCGAGCCUGAACCAGCCAAGUAGCGUGAAGGAUGACUGCCCUACGGGUUGUAAACUUCUUUUAUAAAGGAAUAAAGUGAGGCACGUGUGCCUUUUUGUAUGUACUUUAUGAUUACUGAUCGGCUAACUCCGUUCCAGCAGCCGCGGUAAUACGGAGGAUCCGCGCGUUAUCCGGAUUUAUUUGGUUUAACGGGAGCGUAGAUGGGUUGGUAAGUUAGUUGUGAAAUUUUGCGGCUCAACCGUAAAAUUGCAAUUGAUACUGGCAGACGUGAGUACAGUAGAGGUAGGCGGAAUUCGUGGUGAAGCGGUGAAAUGCUUAGAUAUCACGAAGAACACCGAUUGCGAAGGCAGCUUACUAAACUGCCACUGACAUUGAGGGUCGAAAGUGUGGGUAUCAAACAGGAUUAGAUACCCGGGUAGUC
rnacentral:rRNA from 1 species